UCACCUCCUUACCUAACGA
rnacentral:rRNA from 1 species